rnacentral:rRNA from 1 species
GGAGUUAGCCGGUGCUUCUUCUGUGAGUGAUGUCCUUCCUGCCGGCUAUUAACCCGCAGGCCUUCUUCCUCACUGAAAGUGCUUUACAACCCGAAGGCCUUCUUCACACACGCGGCAUGGCUGGAUCAGGGUUGCCCCCAUUGUCCAAUAUUCCCCACUGCUGCCUCCCGUAGGAGUCUGGGCCGUGUCUCAGUCCCAGUGUGGCUGAUCAUCCUCUCAGACCAGCUACGGAUCGUCGCCUUGGUGAGCCGUUACCUCACCAACCAGCUAAUCCGACAUAGGCUCAUCCGAUAGCGCGAGGCCCGAAGGUCCCCCGCUUUCCCCCGUAGGGCGUAUGCGGUAUUAGCCUGGGUUUCCCCCAGGUUAUCCCCCACUACCGGGGCAGAUUCCUAUGCAUUACUCACCCGUCCGCCGCUCGCCACCAGGGAGCAAGCUCCCCGUGCUGCCGCUCGACUUGCAUGUGUUAGGCCUGCCGCCAGCGUUCAAUCUGAGCCAGGAACUCCGAAACCCUUCGUACGUACGUAGACGGGCGGUCGGUCGGAACGGACGGCCGACUAGUA